CCUUAGAUGUUCUGGGCCGCACGCGCGCUACACUGACAGAGCCAACGAGUAUAAACCUUGUCCGAAAGGUCUGGGUAAUCUUGUUAAACUCUGUCGUGCUGGGGAUAGGGCAUUGCAAUUAUUGCCCUUCAACGAGGAAUAUCUAGUAAGCGCAAGUCAUCAGCUUGCGUUGAUUACGUCCCUGCCCUUUGUACACACCGCCCGUCGCUACUACCGAUUGAAUGGCUCAGUGAGGCCCUCGGACUGGCUCAGGGAGGUCGGCAACGACCACCCAGAGCCGGAAAGUUGGUCAAACUUGGUCAUUUAGAGGAAGUAAAAGUCGUAACAAGGUUUGAAGUAUGACCCUUCUGUGGUGACACUUACGAGAAGCCUUUGCGGCCCCGCAAGGGGUACCGGCCGCGACUAUAAAUGAAAGGCAAGCCGGCAUUAAAUCGCAAGUCAGCUCAGCUGGCUACACUUUCGAAUUGCGGGAAACCCCUAAAGCCGACCUCUACCAACCGUUCAGGGAAACCUGGAUGGGGCCUGUGCUAACAUCACAGGGUACGGUAACAAUGAGGAGGAUAUAUGGGCAAUCCGCAGCCAAGUCCCUAAGGCUCUCGAGCUAUGGGAAAGGUUCACAGACUAAGUGGAAGUGGGUUGGGGCGGUUGUAAUCCGCCCCGGCUUAAGAUAUAGUCGGGCUGUCCGCGAGAGCAGACAGGAUGUCACAAAUCAACCGUUCCGUAGGUGAACCUGCGGAAGGAUCAUUACCAAUCAGGCUGUCUAGGCUGCAAAGCCCUGACGCUUUCAACCCAUUGUGAACCAAAAAACCUUUCGCUUCGGCAGCUGCCCGGUUGGAAACACCCAGGCGUCAGCCUGCCGCUAGCACAAACCAAAAAACUUGCAGAAAACCUCUGUCUGAUAACCAAAUUUUCGAAUGAAAAUUAAAACUUUCAACAACGGAUCUCUUGGUUCCCGCAUCGAUGAAGAACGCAGCGAAACGCGAUAGUUAAUGUGAAUUGCAGAAUUCAGUGAAUCAUCGAGUCUUUGAACGCACAUUGCGCCCAUUGGUAUUCCAUUGGGCAUGUCUGUUUGAGCGUCAUUACAACCCUCGGUACCAACCGGUUUUGAGCGAGCGCGGGUCCUUACCCGGGCUGGCUUUAAAGUUGUAAGCUCUGCUGGCUGCUCAGCCCAACCAGAACAUAGUAAAACCUACUUGUUCAGCGGUCAGGUUGAAGCGGUACGGCCUGAACAAAACCUACCCAACUCUAAGGUUUGACCUCAGAUCAGAUAAGGAUACCCGCUGAACUUAAGCAUAUCAAUAAGCGGAGGAAAAGAAACCAACAGGGAUUGCCUCAGUAACGGCGAGUGAAGCGGCAAGAGCUCAAAUUUGAAAUCUGGAGCCUUCGGCUUCCGAGUUGUAAUUUGAAGAGGAUGUUUCGGUUGCGGCCUGGGCCUAAGUUCCUUGGAACAGGACGUCAUGGAGGGUGAGAAUCCCGUACAUGGCUGCAGGCUUGCUUCCAUGUGAAACUCCUUCGAAGAGUCGAGUUGUUUGGGAAUGCAGCUCAAAAUGGGUGGUAAAUUUCAUCUAAAGCUAAAUAUUGGCGGGAGACCGAUAGCGCACAAGUAGAGUGAUCGAAAGAUGAAAAGCACUUUGAAAAGAGAGUUAAACAGUACGUGAAAUUGUUGAAAGGGAAGCGCUUGCAAUCAGACUCGCUUUCGGUUGAUCAACGUUCCUUUUGGUUCGUGCACUCUGCCGUUGGCGGGCCAGCAUCAGUUGAGGCGGCGGGACAAAGGUAGCGGGAAUGUGGCUCCCUCGCGGGAGUGUUAUAGCCCGUUGCGCCAUGCCGCCAGCUUCGACUGAGGUCCGCGAUUUAUCUAGGAUGCUGGCUUAAUGGUUGUAAGCGAC
rnacentral:rRNA from 1 species